CAGCAGCCACGGGAAUACGUAGGGUGCGAGCGUUAAUCGGAAUUACUGGGUGUAAAGCGUGCGCAGGCGGUUGUGUAAGACAGGUGUGAAAUCCCCGGGCUUAACCUGGGAACUGCGCUUGUGACUGCACAGCUAGAGUAUGGCAGAGGGGGGUGGAAUUCCACGUGUAGCAGUGAAAUGCGUAGAGAUGUGGAGGAACACCGAUGGCGAAGGCAGCCCCCUGGGCCAAUACUGACGCUCAUGCACGAAAGCGUGGGGAGCAAACAGGAUUAGAUACCCGGGUAGUCCCUGUCUCUUAUAC
rnacentral:rRNA from 1 species